UUCCGGUUGAUCCUGCCAGAGGUUACUGCUAUCGGUGUUCGCCUAAGCCAUGCGAGUCAUAUGUAGCAAUACAUGGCGUACUGCUCAGUAACACGUGGAUAACCUGCCCUUGGGACCGGCAUAACCCCGGGAAACUGGGGAUAAUUCCGGAUAACGCAUAUUUGCUGGAAUGCUUUAUGCGUCAAAAGGAUUCGUCUGCCCAAGGAUGGGUCUGCGGCCUAUCAGGUAGUAGUGGGUGUAAUGUACCUACUAGCCAGCGACGGGUACGGGUUGUGAGAGCAAGAGCCCGGAGAUGGAUUCUGAGACAUGAAUCCAGGCCCUACGGGGCGCAGCAGGCGCGAAAACUUUACAAUGCGGGAAACCGUGAUAAGGGGACACCGAGUGCCAGCAUCAUAUGCUGGCUGUCCGGAUGUGUAAAAUACAUCCGUUAGCAAGGGCCGGGCAAGACCGGUGCCAGCCGCCGCGGUAACACCGGCGGCCCGAGUGGUGAUCGUGAUUAUUGGGUCUAAAGGGUCCGUAGCCGGUUUGGUCAGUCCUCCGGGAAAUCUGAUAGCUCAACUAUUAGGCUUUCGGGGGAUACUGCCAGACUUGGAACCGGGAGAGGUAAGAGGUACUACAGGGGUAGGAGUGAAAUCUUGUAAUCCCUGUGGGACCACCUGUGGCGAAGGCGUCUUACCAGAACGGGUUCGACGGUGAGGGACGAAAGCUGGGGGCACGAACCGGAUUAGAUACCUGGGUAGUCCCAGCCGUAAACGAUGCUCGCUAGGUGUCAGGCAUGGCGCGACCGUGUCUGGUGCCGCAGGGAAGCCGUGAAGCGAGCCACCUGGGAAGUACGGCCGCAAGGCUGAAACUUAAAGGAAUU
rnacentral:rRNA from 1 species